rnacentral:rRNA from 1 species
CCUACGGGGGGAGCAGUGGGGAAUAUUGGACAAUGGGCGAAAGCCUGAUCCAGCCAUGCCGCGUGUGUGAAGAAGGCCUUCGGGUUGUAAAGCACUUUCAGUGGGGAAGAAAGCCUUGGGGCUAAUACCCUCGAGGAAGGACAUCACCCACAGAAGAAGCACCGGCUAACUCCGUGCCAGCAGCCGCGGUAAUACGGAGGGUGCGAGCGUUAAUCGGAAUUACUGGGCGUAAAGCGCGCGUAGGCGGUCUGAUAAGCCGGUUGUGAAAGCCCCGGGCUCAACCUGGGAACGGCAUCCGGAACUGUCAGGCUAGAGUGCAGGAGAGGAAGGUAGAAUUCCCGGUGUAGCGGUGAAAUGCGUAGAGAUCGGGAGGAAUACCAGUGGCGAAGGCGGCCUUCUGGACUGACACUGACGCUGAGGUGCGAAAGCGUGGGUAGCAAACAGGAUUAGAUACCCGAGUAGUC